GACGAACGCUGGCGGCGUGCCUAACACAUGCAAGUCGAACGGACAGACCCGGCGCUUGUGGGGUGCUCGAGAGCCGCAGGGGUGAGUGAAACGCGUGUAAACUGUCCUUGUAAUUGUGGUAAAUCUAGGGAAAAGCGGCUCAAACACCAUAGGAGAUACUGAUGCGUGGUGGGGGAUGGUAAGAGACGGCGGUUCGGGCACGAAUCGCGGCGUACUAGCUAGUUGGUAAGGUAACGGCUUACAAAGGCUAUGAAGGGUAGCCGGCCUGAGAGGGUGAUCGGCCACACUGGAACUGAGACACGGUCCAGACUCCUACGGGAGGCAGCAGUAGGGAAUCUUCCGCAAUGGGCGAAAGCUUGACGGAGCAACGCCGCGUGAGUGAUGAAGGUCUUCGGAUCGUAAAACUCUGUUAUUAGGGAAGAACAAAUGUGUAAGUAACUAUGCACGUCUUGACGGUACCUAAUCAGAAAGCCACGGCUAACUACGUG
rnacentral:rRNA from 1 species